CCAGACUCCUACGGGAGGCAGCAGUAGGGAAUCUUCGGCAAUGGACGAAAGUCUGACCGAGCAACGCCGCGUGAGUGAAGAAGGUUUUCGGAUCGUAAAGCUCUGUUGUAAGAGAAGAACGGGUGUGAGAGUGGAAAGUUCACACUGUGACGGUAUCUUACCAGAAAGGGACGGCUAACUACGUGCCAGCAGCCGCGGUAAUACGUAGGUCCCGAGCGUUGUCCGGAUUUAUUGGGCGUAAAGCGAGCGCAGGCGGUUAGAUAAGUCUGAAGUUAAAGGCUGUGGCUUAACCAUAGUACGCUUUGGAAACUGUUUAACUUGAGUGCAGAAGGGGAGAGUGGAAUUCCAUGUGUAGCGGUGAAAUGCGUAGAUAUAUGGAGGAACACCGGUGGCGAAAGCGGCUCUCUGGUCUGUAACUGACGCUGAGGCUCGAAAGCGUGGGGAGCGAACAGGAUUAGAUACCCUGGUAGUCCACGCCGUAAACGAUGAGUGCUAAGUGUUGGGAGGUUUCCGCCUCUCAGUGCUGCAGCUAACGCAUUAAGCACUCCGCCUGGGGAGUACGACCGCAAGGUUGAAACUCAAAGGAAUUGCGGGGGCCCGCACAAG
rnacentral:rRNA from 1 species